UACGAGGGGGGCGAGCGUUGUUCGGAAUUAUUGGGCGUAAAGGGUGCGUAGGCGGUUUGGUAAGUCUUGUGUGAAAUCUACAGGCUCAACUUGUAGUCUGCACGAGAAACUGCCGGGCUUGAGUGUGGGAGAGGUGAGUGGAAUUCCUGGUGUAGCGGUGAAAUGCGUAGAUAUCAGGAGGAACACCUGUGGCGAAAGCGGCUCACUGGACCAUAACUGACGCUGAUGCACGAAAGCGUGGGGAGCAAACAGG
rnacentral:rRNA from 1 species